CCUAUCUCCUAUUUAUACCUCCUUAUUCACAGAUGUCACUGUUCCUUUCAGUUUCCAAAGAAAGUUAUUUGUUCACUUUGGCAAUUUAAAGAGCAAAGAAAGCAAACUAUGAAAUCUCUAUUGCAUCUUUCAACAAAUAAUUAUCCACAGCAGGCAUCUCUGUUAAUCCCACAGUCUCACAACUCUUCUCAAUACAAUGCUCCUGGCAGCCACUACUCAUGGAUUAGAAUUGGCACACUAGUUAAAACCUACUUACUAUUGUUGUUCUCGCUCUGUCACCAAGGCUGGAGUGCGUUUCUGUUUGGGGAUUUGUUUUUGAAGUUGGUGUUCAGCCUGCCCACUGUCUUUUUCACUUGAUAUUAUUUCCUGUUCUCAACGAGAUCUCUCUCUCUAUUCUUCCCAAUCUGUUGGUGCAGUACUUCUUAAAUUAAAAAUACUUGCAAUAUUAUAUCAGUUGUACUCAAAAUCUACAAAUAUUCAGGAAAGGCACACAUUCUACAUAUUAAUUUUCAUUCAUACCUUGUAACUGCAUAAAAACAUAUUCACACUUUAGAAACUACACAAAUAUUUUAUGUGCUAAAUUUAGAUCAUUUAUUCUACUUUCCUCUAAUGUAACUGGCAUCCCUGAUUUCAGGCAAAGCUACAUUCCUGCCCUUCUUUCCCUGAGGUAGUUCAAAUUUGGAUUUCCGCACAUGCAAACCAAAGAAUCCUGACUAAAUACGGACCUCAACGAAAAGCUGCAACAAAGUUGGGAUUGCAAUUUCGCUAAAUAACUUUCAUUUCACACCUUUUACAUUACUAUUCCACCUCUUCUCUCCUUCAUGAGGAAUUCACAAAUAUAACUGGUCUUGGUGGGG
rnacentral:lncRNA from 1 species